rnacentral:rRNA from 1 species
AGUGAACGCUGGCGGUAGGCCUAACACAUGCAAGUCGAACGGCAGCACAGUAAGAGCUUGCUCUUACGGGUGGCGAGUGGCGGACGGGUGAGGAAUACAUCGGAAUCUACUUUUUCGUGGGGGAUAACGUAGGUAAACUUACGCUAAUACCGCAUACGACCUACGGGUGAAAGCAGGGGAUCUUCGGACCUUUCGCGAUUGAAUGAGCCGAUGUCGGAUUAGCUAGUUGGCGGGGUAAAGGCCCACCAAGGCGACGAUCCGUAGCUGGUCUGAGAGGAUGAUCAGCCACACUGGAACUGAGACACGGUCCAGACUCCUACGGGAGGCAGCAGUGGGGAAUAUUGGACAAAGGGCGCAAGCCUGAUCCAGCCAUACCGCGUGGGUGAAGAAGGCCUUCGGGUUGUAAAGCCCUUUUGUUGGGAAAGAAAAGCAGCAGGUUAAUACCCCGCUGUUCUGACGGUACCCAAAGAAUAAGCACCGGCUAACUUCGUG